AGAGUUUGAUCCUGGCUCAGAAUCAACGCUGGCGGCGUGCCUAACACAUGCAAGUCGAACGCGAAAGGGAGCAAUCCUGAGUAGAGUGGCGUCCGGGUGAGUAACACGUGAAUAAUCUACCUGCGGGUGGGGAAUAACUUUCCGAAAGGAAGGCUAAUACCGCAUAAAAUCUAGCUGGGAUAGCCUAGUUAGAUCAAAGAGGGGGAUCGCAAGACCUCUCGCCUGUAGAGGAGUUCGCGGCUGAUUAGCUAGUUGGCGGGGUAAAGGCCCACCAAGGCGACGAUCAGUAGCCGGCCUGAGAGGGCGGUCGGCCACACUGGCACUGAAAUACGGGCCAGACUCCUACGGGAGGCAGCAGUGGGGAAUUUUGGGCAAUGGCCGAAAGGCUGACCCAGCAACGCCGCGUGAAGGAUGAAAUUUUUCGGAAUGUAAACUUCGUAAAUUAGGAAAGAAUAAGUUUGUACUAAUACUGCAAGCGAUGACGGUACCUAAUGUAAGCCCCGGCUAACUCCGUGCCAGCAGCCGCGGUAAUACGGGGGGGGCAAGCGUUGUUCGGAAUUAUUGGGCGUAAAGGGCGCGUAGGCGGUCAGACUAAGUCGAAUGUAAAAUACCAAGGCUUAACCUAGGCAGGUCGUUCGAUACUAGUCGACUAGAGUGUGGAAGGGGUUACUGGAAUUCCUGGUGUAGCGGUGAAAUGCGUAGAUAUCAGGAGGAACACCGGAGGCGAAGGCGGGUAACUGGGCCAACACUGACGCUGAGGCGCGAAAGCUAGGGGAGCAAACAGGAUUAGAUACCCUGGUAGUCC
rnacentral:rRNA from 1 species